rnacentral:rRNA from 1 species
AUUGAACGCUGGCGGCAUGCCUUACACAUGCAAGUCGAACGGCAGCACGGGAGCAAUCCUGGUGGCGAGUGGCGAACGGGUGAGUAAUGUAUCGGAACGUGCCCAGUCGUGGGGGAUAACGCAGCGAAAGCUGUGCUAAUACCGCAUACGAUCUAUGGAUGAAAGCGGGGGAUCGCAAGACCUCGCGCGAUUGGAGCGGACGAUAUCAGAUUAGGUAGUUGGUGGGGUAAAGGCCCACCAAGCCGACGAUCUGUAGCUGGUCUGAGAGGACGACCAGCCACACUGGAACUGAGACACGGUCCAGACUCCUACGGGAGGCAGCAGUGGGGAAUUUUGGACAAUGGGCGCAAGCCUGAUCCAGCAAUGCCGCGUGCAGGAUGGAGGCCUUCGGGUUGUAAACUGCUUUUGUACGGAACGAAACGGUUCUCUCUAAUACAGGGGGCUAAUGACGGUACCGUAAGAAUAAGCACCGGCUAACUACGUGCCAGCAGCCGCCGUAA